rnacentral:rRNA from 1 species
CAGCCGCCGCGGGAAUACGGAGGGUGCAAGCGUUAAUCGGAAUUACUGGGCGUAAAGCGUGCGUAGGCGGUUCGUUAAGUCUGUUGUGAAAGCCCCGGGCUCAACCUGGGAACGGCAAUGGAUACUGGCGAGCUAGAGUGUGUCAGAGGAUGGUGGAAUUCCCGGUGUAGCGGUGAAAUGCGUAGAGAUCGGGAGGAACAUCAGUGGCGAAGGCAAUCCCCUGGGCCUGUACUGACGCUCAUGCACGAAAGCGUGGGGAGCAAACAGGAUUAGAUACCCGUGUAGUCCCUGUCUCUUAUAC